rnacentral:rRNA from 1 species
GGGUUGUGAGGUUAAGCGACUAAGCGUACACGGUGGAUGCCCUGGCAGUCAGAGGCGAUGAAGGACGUGCUAAUCUGCGAUAAGCGUCGGUAAGGUGAUAUGAACCGUUAUAACCGGCGAUUUCCGAAUGGGGAAACCCAGUGUGUUUCGACACACUAUCAUUAACUGAAUCCAUAGGUUAAUGAGGCGAACCGGGGGAACUGAAACAUCUAAGUACCCCGAGGAAAAGAAAUCAACCGAGAUUCCCCCAGUAGCGGCGAGCGAACGGGGAGCAGCCCAGAGCCUGAAUCAGUGUGUGUGUUAGUGGAAGCGUCUGGAAAGGCGCGCGAUACAGGGUGACAGCCCCGUACACAAAAAUGCACAUGCUGUGAGCUCGAUGAGUAGGGCGGGACACGUGGUAUCCUGUCUGAAUAUGGGGGGACCAUCCUCCAAGGCUAAAUACUCCUGACUGACCGAUAGUGAACCAGUACCGUGAGGGAAAGGCGAAAAGAACCCCGGCGAGGGGAGUGAAAAAGAACCUGAAACCGUGUACGUACAAGCAGUGGGAGCACGCUUAGGCGUGUGACUGCGUACCUUUUGUAUAAUGGGUCAGCGACUUAUAUUCUGUAGCAAGGUUAACCGAAUAGGGGAGCCGAAGGGAAACCGAGUCUUAACUGGGCGUUAAGUUGCAGGGUAUAGACCCGAAACCCGGUGAUCUAGCCAUGGGCAGGUUGAAGGUUGGGUAACACUAACUGGAGGACCGAACCGACUAAUGUUGAAAAAUUAGCGGAUGACUUGUGGCUGGGGGUGAAAGGCCAAUCAAACCGGGAGAUAGCUGGUUCUCCCCGAAAGCUAUUUAGGUAGCGCCUCGUGAAUUCAUCUCCGGGGGUAGAGCACUGUUUCGGCAAGGGGGUCAUCCCGACUUACCAACCCGAUGCAAACUGCGAAUACCGGAGAAUGUUAUCACGGGAGACACACGGCGGGUGCUAACGUCCGUCGUGAAGAGGGAAACAACCCAGACCGCCAGCUAAGGUCCCAAAGUCAUGGUUAAGUGGGAAACGAUGUGGGAAGGCCCAGACAGCCAGGAUGUUGGCUUAGAAGCAGCCAUCAUUUAAAGAAAGCGUAAUAGCUCACUGGUCGAGUCGGCCUGCGCGGAAGAUGUAACGGGGCUAAACCAUGCACCGAAGCUGCGGCAGCGACGCUUAUGCGUUGUUGGGUAGGGGAGCGUUCUGUAAGCCUGUGAAGGUGUGCUGUGAGGCAUGCUGGAGGUAUCAGAAGUGCGAAUGCUGACAUAAGUAACGAUAAAGCGGGUGAAAAGCCCGCUCGCCGGAAGACCAAGGGUUCCUGUCCAACGUUAAUCGGGGCAGGGUGAGUCGACCCCUAAGGCGAGGCCGAAAGGCGUAGUCGAUGGGAAACAGGUUAAUAUUCCUGUACUUGGUGUUACUGCGAAGGGGGGACGGAGAAGGCUAUGUUGGCCGGGCGACGGUUGUCCCGGUUUAAGCGUGUAGGCUGGUUUUCCAGGCAAAUCCGGAAAAUCAAGGCUGAGGCGUGAUGACGAGGCACUACGGUGCUGAAGCAACAAAUGCCCUGCUUCCAGGAAAAGCCUCUAAGCAUCAGGUAACAUCAAAUCGUACCCCAAACCGACACAGGUGGUCAGGUAGAGAAUACCAAGGCGCUUGAGAGAACUCGGGUGAAGGAACUAGGCAAAAUGGUGCCGUAACUUCGGGAGAAGGCACGCUGAUAUGUAGGUGAAGUCCCUCGCGGAUGGAGCUGAAAUCAGUCGAAGAUACCAGCUGGCUGCAACUGUUUAUUAAAAACACAGCACUGUGCAAACACGAAAGUGGACGUAUACGGUGUGACGCCUGCCCGGUGCCGGAAGGUUAAUUGAUGGGGUCAGCGCAAGCGAAGCUCUUGAUCGAAGCCCCGGUAAACGGCGGCCGUAACUAUAACGGUCCUAAGGUAGCGAAAUUCCUUGUCGGGUAAGUUCCGACCUGCACGAAUGGCGUAAUGAUGGCCAGGCUGUCUCCACCCGAGACUCAGUGAAAUUGAACUCGCUGUGAAGAUGCAGUGUACCCGCGGCAAGACGGAAAGACCCCGUGAACCUUUACUAUAGCUUGACACUGAACAUUGAGCCUUGAUGUGUAGGAUAGGUGGGAGGCUUUGAAGUGUGGACGCCAGUCUGCAUGGAGCCGACCUUGAAAUACCACCCUUUAAUGUUUGAUGUUCUAACGUUGACCCGUAAUCCGGGUUGCGGACAGUGUCUGGUGGGUAGUUUGACUGGGGCGGUCUCCUCCUAAAGAGUAACGGAGGAGCACGAAGGUUGGCUAAUCCUGGUCGGACAUCAGGAGGUUAGUGCAAUGGCAUAAGCCAGCUUGACUGCGAGCGUGACGGCGCGAGCAGGUGCGAAAGCAGGUCAUAGUGAUCCGGUGGUUCUGAAUGGAAGGGCCAUCGCUCAACGGAUAAAAGGUACUCCGGGGAUAACAGGCUGAUACCGCCCAAGAGUUCAUAUCGACGGCGGUGUUUGGCACCUCGAUGUCGGCUCAUCACAUCCUGGGGCUGAAGUAGGUCCCAAGGGUAUGGCUGUUCGCCAUUUAAAGUGGUACGCGAGCUGGGUUUAGAACGUCGUGAGACAGUUCGGUCCCUAUCUGCCGUGGGCGCUGGAGAACUGAGGGGGGCUGCUCCUAGUACGAGAGGACCGGAGUGGACGCAUCACUGGUGUUCGGGUUGUCAUGCCAAUGGCACUGCCCGGUAGCUAAAUGCGGAAGAGAUAAGUGCUGAAAGCAUCUAAGCACGAAACUUGCCCCGAGAUGAGUUCUCCCUGACUCCUUGAGAGUCCUGAAGGAACGUUGAAGACGACGACGUUGAUAGGCCGGAUGUGUAAGCGCAGCGAUGCGUUGAGCUAACCGGUACUAAUGAACCGUGAGGCUUAACCUUACAACGCCGAAGGUGUUU